rnacentral:rRNA from 1 species
AUGAAAAGCUUAUCUUGGGCUCUUGCAGCUGCUAAGAAUUUCUAUAGAUGGGUCCCUGGGGAUGGGAAUAGCAUUGCCUUCUGGCAUGACAUUUGGACAAGAGAUUGUUCUCUAAAAACUGCAUUUUGGGGCCUUUAUAAUAUUUGCCAGCAGCAAGAUGCUACCCUAGCGCAGGUCUGGGUGGAUGGUGAGCUGCGGUUAACAUUUAGGAGAUGUGUCACAGAGAAUGCGUUAGUUAAAUGGGGGGAACUUGUCAAGAUUGUUGAACCUGUUCGUCUAUCUGGAUCUCCAGAUCAACCCCUUUGGAUGCUGGACUCCUCUAACAAAUACUCGGUCAAAUCCUUUUAUAAGCUAAUAAACUUUGGAGGGAUUCCUUCUGCUAUUAAGGAUGAUAUAUGGAAAAUCAAAGUGCCACCGAAUAUACAUGUUUUUCUUUGGCUGAUUUAUUAUGACAAAAGCUUGACCAGAGACAAUUUGGCCAAGCGGAGACAUGUUGAGGACAUGUCAUGUGUCUUUUGCAACGAACCUGAGACUAUCCAACAUCUGUUCUUUGACUGUAUUGUUGCUGAAAAUGUUUGGAAGCUGGUUGGUGAUAUCUUUAGGAUUGAUAUUCCUAACUCUUUUGAUCGAUUAACUUCCUUUUGGAAGAGAAGAAAACAUCUUGAAGCUUUGAACAUUGUUACUGCUGCUGCCUUGUGGAGCUUAUGGCGUUUUCGAAAUGAUUUUGUUUUCCAGGGACGAAGAUGGCGAAGUAUACGGUGUGUCUUGGACCUGUUGGGGGCGACGAUCAAGAAAUGGAAAAUACUCUGUUCAGAAGCUCAGGGUGCGCUACUUCUCCGGUGCUUAAGGCUUUUGGACCACCGAAGAGGGGAAUUGCUUAGAAUCGCGUGGAGAUCUUAG